rfam:Candidatus Woesebacteria bacterium RIFOXYB1_FTLL_40_26 rifoxyb1_full_scaffold_4307, whole genome shotgun sequence.
GGACGCGUGGCUCAGUGGUAGAGCGCUUCGUUCACAUCGAAGAGGCCGUAGGUUCAAAUCCUACCGCGUCCA